rnacentral:rRNA from 1 species
AUACCGAGGGUGCAAGCGUUAAUCGGAUUUACUGGGCGUAAAGCGCGCGUAGGCGGCUAAUUAAGUCAAAUGUGAAAUCCCCGAGCUUAACUUGGGAAUUGCAUUCGAUACUGGUUAGCUAGAGUGUGGGAGAGGAUGGUAGAAUUCCAGGUGUAGCGGUGAAAUGCGUAGAGAUCUGGAGGAAUACCGGUGGCGAAGGCAGCCAUCUGGCCUAACACUGACGCUGAGGUGCGAAAGCAUGGGGAGCAAACAGGAUUAGAUACCCCCGUAGUCC